UACAGAGGUCUCAAGCGUUGUUCGGAUUCAUUGGGCGUAAAGGGUGCGUAGGUGGCGGGGUAAGUCAGGUGUGAAAUUUCGGAGCUUAACUCCGAAACUGCAUUUGAUACUGCCUUGCUUGAGGACUGGAGAGGAGACUGGAAUUCAUGGUGUAGCAGUGAAAUGCGUAGAGAUCAUGGAGGAAGACCAGUGGCGAAGGCGGGUCUCUGGACAGUUCCUGACACUGGAGGCAACGAAGGCCCAGGGGAGCAAACGGG
rnacentral:rRNA from 1 species